rnacentral:lncRNA from 1 species
GCCUGGGAAUGGUGGGGUUCAGUUUGGGACUGGCAAUCCAGUGCAUAAAGGACACCCUAGAAGUCUCGUGUUGCACCUCGGGGGACCCUGCUGGGGCCCAAAAGCCAGGGCUUGGAUCUUCCUCUGAUAGUUCUACUUCAUUCUGUCAAAGAUCCAAUUCCCGAAAGAGUUUUUUUCAUCAUCUUCAAACAUCCAGAAUUGGCUCACACAAUUACAGAGGCUGAGAGGCCAUACUAUCUGUCAUGUGCAUGCAGGAGAACCAGGAAUGCUGGUGGUGUAAUUCAGUACAAGUCAGAAGACCUGGGAACCAGGGAGCUGAUGGUGCCCUCAGUGUAUUGGAUGAUACCUGCCAAUACUGGAAAGGCCAUGUGACCACACACCAAGAAGCUAGCUGUCUGCCAGCCAGGAAGAGAGCCCUGACCAGUAAUCAAAUUGGCUGAAGACUUGAUCUUGGACUCCUUGUCUCCAGAAAUGGCUGCUGUAGUAUCCUAGGGGUCUACUCCAGUCCCUGGUUACCUCGAAUUUUCCAGUCCCUGGAUGUCUCACCAGUGAAGGUUGUGAAACAGCAAAAAUGGCAGCCUGCACCCUCCUCUGGGAGCUCCAUCCCAAGAAGAUGUUGGCACUUCUUAGGAAGGAGCCAUCCAUGUCUGAAGAGAAGAAAUGAUAAUUAACUUCAUCAUGUGGAAAGCUUUAGAAGGAAGUAUCUUGUCCUUCUGUCCAAACCCGCCUCCUCCUUACCACCCCCAAUAAAAAUAAAAGCCAAACAAAUAAAACAUUAGCAGUAGCUCUGAGUUUCUUCCUUUCACUUUUUCUCUCUCUUCAUGCCUUUUCUCCUCCAUUCCUUCCUUCUUUCAAAUCAUUUUUACUAGUUUAAGAGAAUAAUUCAAUCUAUAUUUAGAAAUCAGACUUAAAACUUCAAAAAUUAUACUGAAAUAGCUUCCCCUUAAAGGGUGAAACAGUCAUGAUAAAAAUAACAACCGAUAGAAUAAAAUAAUAUAAAAUUAGCUGAGUUUAUAGUUUCUUUUACACCUCCAUAAUUUAUGUGGAUUUGGAAAUACAGACAGUAUACUGAAAACUAAGAAGUUUUCUAUGAAUUAUGAGAAUUUGCAAUCCACAUAGGCUUAAGUCUAAUGUUAGAAGAUAAAACAAAUUGACCUUAAAUAACUUUCUGACAUAACCUCCCCAUUUCAUGGAUGAAAAACCCUAAAGCUCUCAUAAGUAAAGUGAUUUACUUCAGGACACAAACUAGUUGAUUUAGUUUGGAUGUUUGUCCCCUCCAAAUCUCAUGUUGAAAUGGAAUCCCCAGUGUUGGAGGUGGGGCCUGGUGGGAGGUGUUUGUGUCAUGGGGCAGAUCCAUUAUCCUUAUGAGCUGCUUGGUGCUAUCCUUGUGAUAGUGAGUGAGUUCUCAUGAAAUCUGGUUGUUUAAAAAUUUGUGGCACCUCCCCACCAGCCUUGCUCCUGCUCUUGCGGUGUGAUAUGCCUGCUGCCUCUUCACCUUACACCGUGAUUAUAAGCUUCCUGAGGCCUCACCAGAAGCAGUUCUUCUAUCAGGAUUUUAAGAGGGCAGGCAGAACUUUAAAGCAAAGGAAAUUGCUUGUUUUUGUGAAAUUAACCAGUCUGUUAUCAAGGCGGAGGACAAGAUACGAAUGCUAAUCAUUGUGAAGAAACUCAUUACGGAAUUUUCUCCAAUACAUAGGCAAAAGAAGUGGCUGUUAUCAUUUUGCACUAUAACCAGACAUAUAAUGCUGUUGCUCCACAUCCACGUCAGAGAUCCUUGAGGAAUCACCACACUGUCUUCCACAAUGGGUGGUACAUCCAGAAAACAGAAUAUUACUUAGUGCUAAAAAGAAAUGUGCUAUCAAGCCAUGAAAAUAUACAUGGAAAGCGCAACACGGCUGAAUAGAAACAGCUCCGUUCUGCAGCUCCCAGUUGAUCAAUGCAGAAGUUCGUAGGUCUUGAGAUCAAGAGCAACCCCAUGUGGAUCCAUGGUAGAUCACAAGAUCUGGAAGUUUGUGCCUAAUGUUGUUAUCAGAUGAGCCUUUUGGGGAUGUCCUGAAGGG